UGGUCCUCACCCAGGAGGCCUCCUCUCCUUGCCUGCUGGGCCAGGGACUCAGAGCCUCCUCUGUCACGGCACACACGCACCAUGUGACAACUGUCUCUGCAAGUGUCCCCACCACUGCAGCUUCGGCACCUCAGACUGCGCCCUGUCUUCCAUCUGUGUCCUCCCUGACCCGGAGCAGGGGCCUGGGCAUGGCUGCGGAAUGAAGGGGACAGAGGCUGAACCUGCAACGGAGGGGACUCUGCUGGAAACAUCCCGUGUUUGGUACCGUGUCGUUCCGAGGCUUUGCUGCAAGAAGAGAGGAAUGUGGGGGAGCAGAUUCCAGAAUCCGGCCUGGAGAGAGAUGGGCAAGGAAGAAGCCCCUGCUGGGGAAUGGUGGUGGGUUUUCCUGCAGAGGACGAUGUAAAGUCUGGGCAGCCCAGAGGAGUGAGCUUGCAGGUGUGCAAGCAGGGACAAGCCCCCAGUCACACUGGUGACCGAAGCCAUCAGGUGACAGGAUGUUUAACCCCUCUUGCGCUUCCUCCUGAGAACGGGUCACGCAUUCCCCAAGCUGGCUUGUCCUUUCUGAGUCUGCAUGGAUUAGCCUGUGUGUGGAUCAUGAGGGCUUGGGUACGACUCAGCUAGUGGCUUCUCCUCCCUCCAGGGUCCCCAGGCUUCCUGUCCAUCCCCCAGGGCCACCCUUAGCAGGUGGGCCUGGGGGGGCUGUGUCUCACUCCAUGAGCCAGAGCCAGGGGCCCCUCACCUUGGCCCUCCAGGGGCCCCCUUUCCUUCCCUCUGGGUGUUCCUGCCGCCCCUCGAGUGAAAUGGAGGCUCGGUGGCAUCUGUCCCCUACUGGCCGUUCCAGCAACCAGGAGGGUGAAGCGGAAGGCGGUGGAGAGGGUUUGCCAGGACUGGGUUUGGGGUGAGGUGCAUCGGACUCGGCCAGACCUCUGGGGUGCUGGCAGUCACUUCUGACGCUCCCAUCUCCAGCCAGCACCCUUCUUCCCUGAGUUCAAGAAGUAAGCAUCCUUCUGUCUCCCUGACAGCUAUGCGUUUCUUGCUCAGCACGCACACCACCAAGUUCACAAGGCUUGUGCCCCUGGACUGUUCUCCAGCGUUUGCUACCUCUCUUGGGGGCACACCCUUGACUCCUCUGUCCCCUCCCUCCAUCGGCCAGUCCUAAGCCUGCCCUCUCCAUUCCAUCCCCGGUCCUCUCCCCACACCACCACCACGCAGUGGGACCCCGCAGGGCCUCCGGGCUGGUCUCCCUGCACAGAUGCCGUCAGGGGCCAGCUCUCCGCACGCACCGUCUCUCUCAGGCACAACCACUGCAGGAGGUGAGGGUUAUCAUUUCCAGCAUUGUCCAGGUAAGGACGUGGGGCUCUCAGAGAAGCUAGAAGCCCCGCCGAGGUAGCACAAGUGCUGGGAGAUGGCCCCGCCAACCCGGUACGACCUGCAGCGAACCGGGGUGGGGCAGUCUGCUCUCCGGGAUUCUUCCUCGCGCCCGCAAAGAUAUCCUUGCACCUCCGCUGUGUUUUUUCAUUUCUCACUGAUACUCGCACCGAUCCGGCGCCCAGCGAGCACCCAGAAUCUCCCCGCUGCUUCUAUCACAGGCAGAUGACACUUCCUGGCCCAAGCCGCAGCCACUUCUCUCUUUCUCCUGUGGCGAUGCUGGUUAUGAAACCAGGAAUAGUUGUCGGCGGCAUGGGACAUCGAGGUCACUCAGACCAAAACACGGAGACUGAGCCAGGCCGUGUCAGCCUGGGCAGGCUGCAACCUUUGCACUGGGGCCCAGGGCCCCGGAAGGCGGGCCACAGCCAACCCAGUUGCCGUGGAGACACAGACAGACAGACAGACAGCUGGGGUCCGCCAGCUUGAAGGCGCCCAGGGCCUAGAGGAGGGGGAGACGAACAUCACCUCCAGGGCGGAGCUGGCCUGCUCACAGGCCCCUCCUAGCAGGUGCCCCCCCCCACCCCAGGGCUGGGCCCAGGCGGCCACUGGAGGGCAGGGCAGCUCUGGCUCUGGAGCCCCGACUUGGCUUCUGGUCCUCACUCUGCCACUUGCACCGCUGUGUGUCUUCGGCUAGUCGCUUCACCUCUCUGAGCCACUGCUAC